rnacentral:tRNA from 1 species
GCCACCUUAGUGUAGUAGUUAUCACAUUCCGCUCGUAACUUGAUACGGAAAGGUCGCCGGUGCAAAUCCGGUAGGUGGCA